rnacentral:rRNA from 1 species
GAAGAACGCUGGCGGCGUGCCUAAUACAUGCAAGUCGAACGCAGUGGGGACGGGUGAGUAACACGUGGGUAACCUCCCAUAAGCGGGGAUAACAAUUGGAAACAGGUGCUAAACCGAUACUGAUGGAUGGACCCGCGGGGCAGUAGCUAGUUGGUGGGGUAACGGCUCACCAAGUCUACGAUGCAUAGCCGACCUGAGAGGGUGAUCGGACACACUGAGACUGAGACACGGCCCAGACUCCUACGGUAGGAAGCAGUAGGGAAUUGUGGGCAAUGGACGAAAGUCUGACCGAGCAACGCCGCGUGAGUGAAGAAGGUUUUAGGAUCAUAAAAUUCUGUUGUUAGAGAAGCGGUAUCUAACCAGAAAGCCACGGCUAACUACGUGCCAGCAGCCGCGGUAAUUC